ACGCUAGCUACAGGCUUAACACAUGCAAGUCGAGGGGAAACGGCAUUAAGUGCUUGCACUUUUUGGACGUCGACCGGCGCACGGGUGAGUAACGCGUAUCCAACCUUCCCAUGACUAAGGGAUAACCUGCCGAAAGGCAGACUAAUACCUUAUGGUCUUCACUGACGGCAUCAGAUGUGAAGUAAAGAUUUAUCGGUUAUGGAUGGGGAUGCGUCUGAUUAGUUAGUUGGCGGGGUAACGGCCCACCAAGGCAACGAUCAGUAGGGGUUCUGAGAGGAAGGUCCUCCACAUUGGAACUGAGACACGGUCCAAACUCCUACGGGAGGCAGCAGUGAGGAAUAUUGGUCAAUGGGCGAGAGCCUGAACCAGCCAAGUAGCGUGCAGGAUGACGGCCCUAUGGGUUGUAAACUGCUUUUGUAUGGGGAUAAAGUCAAUCACGUGUAAUUGUUUGCAGGUACCAUACGAAUAAGGACCGGCUAAUUCCGUGCCAGCAGCCGCGGUAAUACGGAAGGUCCGGGCGUUAUCCGGAUUUAUUGGGUUUAAAGGGAGCGUAGGCUGGAGAUUAAGUGUGUUGUGAAAUGUAGACGCUCAACGUCUGACUUGCAGCGCAUACUGGUUUCCUUGAGUACGCACAACGUUGGCGGAAUUCGUCGUGUAGCGGUGAAAUGCUUAGAUAUGACGAAGAACUCCGAUUGCGAAGGCAGCUGACGGGAGCGCAACUGACGCUGAAGCUCGAAGGUGCGGGUAUCGAACAGGAUUAGAUACCCUGGUAGUCCGCACAGUAAACGAUGGAUGCCCGCUGUUGGUACUUGGUAUCAGCGGCUAAGCGAAAGCAUUAAGCAUCCCACCUGGGGAGUACGCCGGCAACGGUGAAACUCAAAGGAAUUGACGGGGGCCCGCACAAGCGGAGGAACAUGUGG
rnacentral:rRNA from 1 species